rnacentral:rRNA from 1 species
UACGAAGGGGGCUAGCGUUGCUCGGAAUCACUGGGCGUAAAGCGCACGUAGGCGGAUCUUUAAGUCAGGGGUGAAAUCCUGGAGCUCAACUCCAGAACUGCCUUUGAUACUGAGGAUCUUGAGUCCGGGAGAGGUGAGUGGAACUCCGAGUGUAGAGGUGAAAUUCGUAGAUAUCUGGAGGAACACCGGUGGCGAAGGCGGCAUCCUGGACCAACACUGACACUGAGGAGCGAAAGCCAGGGGAGCAAACGGG